rnacentral:misc_RNA from 1 species
UUACCGUAGGUGAACCUGCGGAAGGAUCAUUAUUGGAUUUUGAAACUUCAGGCUGCUGCUGGCUCUCCUCGGAGGGCAUGUGCACGCUUGUUGUCCAUUAUUUCUCCCACUGUGCACAAGUUGUAGACCUUUCAGUAGGCCUAUGUUGUUUUUCACAAUCUCUGAAUGUAAUAGAAUGGUUUUGAAUCUUGGGAAAUACAAUACAACUUUCAGCAACGGAUCUCUUGGCUCUC